rnacentral:rRNA from 1 species
CCAUACCCUGCUUCCAGGAAAAGCCACUAAGCUUCAGCUAUUGACGACCGUACCGCAAACCGACACUGGUGCGCGAGAUGAGUAUUCUAAGGCGCUUGAGAGAACUCAGGAGAAGGAACUCGGCAAAUUGACACCGUAACUUCGGGAGAAGGUGUGCCCUCAGUAGGUGAACCUGUACAAGGGGAGCCCAAAGGGGUUGCAAAGAAUCGGUGGCUGCGACUGUUUAUUAAAAACACAGCACUCUGCAAACACGAAAGUGGACGUAUAGGGUGUGACGCCUGCCCGGUGCUGGAAGAUUAAAUGAUGGGGUGCAAGCUCUUGAUUGAAGUCCCAGUAAACGGCGGCCGUAACGAUAACGGUCCUAAGGUAGCGAAAUUCCUUGUCGGGUAAGUUCCGACCUGCACGAAUGGCGUAACGAUGGCCACACUGUCUCCUCCUGAGACUCAGCGAAGUUGAAAUGUUUGUGAUGAUGCAAUCUCCCCGCGGAAAGACGGAAAGACCCCAUGAACCUUUACUGUAGCUUUGUAUUGGACUUUGAACGGAUCUGUGUAGGAUAGGUGGGAGGCUUUGAAGCGGUGUCGCUAGACAUCGUGGAGCCAACGUUGAAAUACCACCCUGGUGCGUUUGAGGUUCUAACCUGGAUCCCUUAUCGGGAUUGGGGACAGUGCAUGGUAGGCAGUUUGACUGGGCGGUCUCCUCCCAAAGCGUAACGGAGGAGUUCGAAGGUACGCUAGUUACGGUCGGACAUCGUGACGAUAGUGCAAUGCAUAAGCGUGCUUAACUGCGAGACUGACAAGUCGAGCAGAUGCGAAAGCAGGACAUAGUGAUCCGGUGGUUCUGUAUGGAAGGGCCAUCGCUCAACGGAUAAAAGGUACUCUGGGGAUAACAGGCUGAUACCGCCCAAGAGUUCAUAUCGACGGCGGUGUUUGGCACCUCGAUGUCGGCUCAUCUCAUCCUGGGGCUGUAGCCGGUCCCAAGGGUAUGGCUGUUCGCCAUUUAAAGAGGUACGUGAGCUGGGUUUAAAACGUCGUGAGACAGUUUGGUCCCUAUCUUCCGUGGGCGCUGCAGAUUUGAGGAAGCCUGCUCCUAGUACGAGAGGACCGGAGUGGACACACCUCUGGUGUACCGGUUGUCACGCCAGUGGCAUCGCCGGGUAGCUAUGUGUGGAAGAGAUAACCGCUGAAAGCAUCUAAGCGGGAAACUCGUUUCAAGAUGAGAUCUGCCGGGGCCUUGAGCCCCCUAAAGAGUCGUUCAAGACCAGGACGUUGAUAGGCUGGGUGUGGAAGCGCAGUAAUGCGUUAAGCUAACCAGUACUAAUUGCUCGUGCGGCUUGACCCU